GGUUAACCCCAGGCCCUGGCAGAUCUGUAGCCCAGGGUUUCCCCCAGGUCCUGGCAGAUCUGUAGCCCAGGUUAACCCCAGGUCCUGGCAGAUCUGUAGCCCAGGUUAACCCCAGGUCCUGGCAGAUCUGUAGCCCAGGUUAACCCCAGGUCCUGGCAGAUCUGUAGCCCAGGUUAACCCCAGGUCCUGGCAGGGCUGUAGCACAGGU